CUGCUGCUUUUCCUCUCCUGAUGCUAAAUCACUCUUAUCAGAGGCUAGUUAGCAAGUCUGUGUCGUGCUGUGAUUUUGAUAAGAGAUGUCUUCUUCCCAGGCCUGCAAUAGACCACCACAAAGUGAGCCUUUAUUGACUACCUGCUGUCUGUUGGCCUGGCCAGACCUGGGGACCCGCAGGGGGCUUCUGCUGCCAGAGGCCAAAGUGUUAGAGGUGAGGACUGCAAGCAUAUAUCGUUAUCCGACCUUCAUCAACCAAAGCGACCGUGAAAUUUGGACAAGGUGCAGCUCCGAGAUAACUUGGCAGCUGCAAAUUUUUUCCCAAACUGUGAUCCCUGGAUUUCCCUCCGUGGUGUGUGGUGAACCAAAACCCCGAGUUUGAGAGAGAGAAAGAGAGUUUUACCUGUAAAUAUAGGAUGAGUGGAUUCCCUUCCUCCCCGGACCCCUUGGAGCACUAUUCCCUUUUUGCAUUGUGUCUGUAAAUAUAUUUAUUCACUGUAAAUAAACAGUGAA